rnacentral:misc_RNA from 1 species
UUUCCGUAGGUGAACCUGCGGAAGGAUCAUUCAUAAUAAAGUGUUUUAUGGCACUUUUUAAAAAUCCAUAUCCACCUUGUGUGCAAUGUUAGAUCUCGUCAAUCUUGGCGAGAUUUUUAUACAUCAACUCAUUUUUUAACUAAUUUGUCUGAAAAAUAUUAUGAAUACUUAGUUCAAAAUACAACUUUCAACAACGGAUCUCUUGGCUCUC